AGUGAAGAACAUGUAGCAUUUAUUAGAUAUGCAAACAAGCCAAGCAAUUAUUAGCUAUCUUAUUGGCACACAUACAGCGAUUCUGAGUGCACCAUGAAAACAAGCAUGUACAUCACAAAUACUGUACAUUGGUCCGAUGCCAUCUCUAGCUGGCACUCAGAAAUACAAUAGCGAAAACAAUGUGUAUCAUACUCCCAUCACGAUUAUUCAUUCUGUCAUUCAUUGUUCCAUCUGACAGAAAGUUCUGACCUUCGCCUUCGACUCCCAUCACGACUCAGUCUGACUGCUGUCUUAGCUGACCAGACCAACAGUUGUGCCAUCCCACCUGGGAUAAGAAGAAAGCUCAGAAAUCUAAAGUAGAGUUGCACCAAUACGUGAGCAAAAGAGAGAAAGGGGUUACCCACCUGUACAAGCGCAGAGAAUGUUGUCGCAACGUCGAUGAGUUAUGCAGUCUAUGUCUCUGUUUUAUCAGCUCUUCGACGAUUUCACUUGCUCUCUCCAUAGAAAC
rnacentral:lncRNA from 1 species